rnacentral:rRNA from 1 species
AAUGAACGCUGGCGGCAUGCCUUACACAUGCAAGUCGAACGGCAGCAUGACCUAGCUUGCUAGGUUGAUGGCGAGUGGCGAACGGGUGAGUAAUGCAUCGGAACGUGCCUUUUAGUGGGGGAUAACGUAGCGAAAGUUACGCUAAUACCGCAUAUUCUCUGAGGAGGAAAGCAGGGGACCUUCGGGCCUUGCGCUAGAAGAGCGGCCGAUGUCGGAUUAGCUAGUUGGUGAGGUAAAGGCUCACCAAGGCAAAGAUCCGUAGCGGGUCUGAGAGGAUGAUCCGCCACACUGGGACUGAGACAAGGCCCAGACUCCUACGGGAGGCAGCAGUGGGGAAUUUUGGACAAUGGGCGCAAGCCUGAUCCAGCCAUGCCGCGUGAGUGAAGAAGGCCUUCGGGUUGUAAAGCUCUUUCGGCUGGGAAGAAAUCGCACCCUCUAAUACAGGGUGUGGAUGACGGUACCAGCAUAAGAAGCACCGGCUAACUACGUG